AACGAACGCUGGCGGCAUGCCUAAUACAUGCAAGUCGAACGAGACCUUCGGGUCCAGUGGCGUACGGGUGCGUAACGCGUGGGAACCUUCCCUCAGGGGCGGAAUAACUCCUCGAAAGGGGUGCUAAUAGCGGAUAAUGUCUACUGCCCAAAGAUUUAUCGCCUUUGGUUUGGCCCGCGUUGUAUUAGCUAGUUCGUGAGGUAAAAACGUACCUAGGCGACGAUACAUAGUAGGUCUGAGAGGGUGAUAGGCCACACUGGGACUGAGACAAGGCCGAGACGACGACGGGAGGCAGAAGUAGGGAAUCUGCGGCAAUGGGGGCAACCGGGAAAGAGAAACGCCGCGUGAGUGAAGAAGGUUUGAGGAUCGGAAAGCUCUGUUGUAAGUCAAGAACGGGUGGGAGAGUGGAAAGGUCACACUGUGACGGUAGCUUACCAGAAAGGGACGGCUAACUACGU
rnacentral:rRNA from 1 species